UACGAAGGGGGCUAGCGUUGCUCGGAAUCACUGGGCGUAAAGGGUGCGUAGGCGGGUCUUUAAGUCAGGGGUGAAAUCCUGGAGCUCAACUCCAGAACUGCCUUUGAUACUGAGGAUCUUGAGUUCGGGAGAGGUGAGUGGAACUGCGAGUGUAGAGGUGAAAUUCGUAGAUAUUCGCAAGAACACCAGUGGCGAAGGCGGCUCACUGGCCCGUAUACUGACGCUGAGGCACGAAAGCGUGGGGGAGCAAACAGGG
rnacentral:rRNA from 1 species